CACUUCAAACCUCAUCAUCUCUUACCUGGAUGUCUCAAUAGCCCCCUUCUUCAUUUGUUUCUUCUUACUUUUGACGCCACCCUCUUCUGCCUUCUUCCUAGGAGCUUUUGCCAAGUGAAUGCGCCCGUGUCCCAGGCAUGAAUUGUGAUUGAUGGCAGCCAAUCAGGACAAUGCCAGUCAUUGGUCAGUGACUGGCAGAGAGAUCUUCUUCUACGUGGGACUCAGACUCUGAAGAAGGUUUCCAAAAGCUCUGAGCCCAGGAAGCAUGGCCUGUCAUCAGCAUGUGCCGUGUUGGUUGAUGAGUGUUGUCUUCAUCAAGGUCACAAGGAAGAGGCGAAAGGGAAUUGGCCCCACCUGUCCAUCUGCCUGGGCGAAAUCCAGACCUACUUAUGGGCCAGGAGAAUCAAGUUCUGAGAAGCAGUUCUUGAAAGGAAGCUUCUGACAGCUCACUAAUUACCAGGCAGAAAAACAAAAAGUUGCAAUGCUGUUCAGGCAAAGACUGGCGCCCAGCAUCUGCUGUGUGAGGUGCAGAGGAGCGAGACUUCUGAGCAGCCUGUGGGGUCCAGAGGGGCUCCUCCAGAAUGAAUGUUCAGGGACUCCUGCACCGGAGUAAAUCAACAAACCACGGUGUUGUUAAUGUCAGCAAAGUUAUUCGUGUACCUUGUGCCUGUAUACUUAUUCAAUCUAUAGAGAAAAUGAGGGAUCCCAGUGCCUGAAAAAAAAUGGUUCUGUAAUCUAUGAAAUCAAAUCACAGUUGAUAGCACAAAGUGACAUGAAACAGGAAAUAUGAGAAAUUAAGUUCAGGGUAUAGAUUUUGUCAGACUAAAUUAGAGGUAAGCAAUGCCUGCUUUUCUCUUAGGGCUCAUGCUCAAAAUAAAAUGAGUGCUUGC